rnacentral:rRNA from 1 species
UACAGAGGUCCCAAGCGUUGUUCGGAUUCACUGGGCGUAAAGGGUGCGCAGGUGGGUUGGCAAGUUCGAUGUGAAAGCCCCGGGCUUAACCCGGGAAUGGCAUUGGAUACUGCUGAUCUGGAGGAUCGGAGGGGGGACUGGAAUUCUUGGUGUAGCAGUGAAAUGCGUAGAUAUCAAGAGGAACACCAGUGGCGAAGGCGGGUCUCUGGGCCGAUACUGACGCUGAGGAGCGAAAGCGUGGGGAGCGAACAGG